rnacentral:rRNA from 1 species
AACGAACGCUGGCGGCAUGCCUAACACAUGCAAGUCGAACGAGACCUUCGGGUCUAGUGGCGCACGGGUGCGUAACGCGUGGGAACCUGCCCUUAUGUUCGGAAUAACUCCCCGAAAGGGGUGCUAAUACCGGAUAAUGUCUUCGGACCAAAGAUUUAUCGCCUUUGGAUGGGCCCGCGUUGGAUUAGCUAGUUGGUAGGGUAAAAGCCUACCAAGGCGACGAUCCAUAGCUGGUCUGAGAGGAUGAUCAGCCACACUGGGACUGAGACACGGCCCAGACUCCUACGGGAGGCAGCAGUGGGGAAUAUUGGACAGUGGGCGAAAGCAUGAUCCAGCAAUGCCGCGUGAGUGAUGAAGGCCUUAGGGUUGUAAAGCUCUUUUACCCGGGAUGAUAAUGACAGUACCGGGAGAAUAAGCUCCGGCUAACUCCGUG